UUAGUCAAAGCCAAAGAGAGGCAUACCACUGUUAAUGGUUGAAAUGAAGAUUACUUCUGACUAAA
rnacentral:tRNA from 1 species